rnacentral:rRNA from 1 species
CAGCAGCCGCGGGAAUACCAGCAGCCCAAGUGGUGGUCGCGCUUAUUGGGCCUAAAGCGCUCGUAGCCUGGCCGGUAAGUUCCCCGUGAAAUCGGGUCGCCCAACGAUUCGGCUUGCGGGGAAUACUGUCGGUCUUGGGGCCGGGAGACGCCGAGGGUACUCCGGGGGUAGCGGUGAAAUGCUGUAAUCCUCGGGGGACUACCAGUGGCGAAGGCGCUCGGCGAUAACGGGCCUGACGGUGAGGGGCGAAAGCUGGGGGCGCGAACGGGAUUAGAUACCCGAGUAGUCCCUGUCUCUUAUA